UACGAAGGGGGCGAGCGUUGUUCGGAAUUACUGGGCGUAAAGGGCGCGUAGGCGACCGAUCAAGUCAGAUGUGAAAGUCCUGGGCUUAACCUGGGGACUGCAUUUGAUACUGAUUGGCUUGAAUUCGGGAGAGGAUAGCGGAAUUCCCAGUGUAGAGGUGAAAUGCGUAGAUAUUGGGAGGAACACCGGUGGCGAAGGCGGCCCCCUGGACCGGUACUGACGCUGAGGCGCGAAAGCGUGGGUAGCAAACGGG
rnacentral:rRNA from 1 species